UAAUUUGCAUUAUUUCUAACCAAGUCACUUACCUACCAAAACUUACCAUUUGAUGCCAAAAUGUAUUUCAAAUACUAACAUAUUUAGUUAUAUAUAUACCUUACAUAUCAUGGUCCCGAUUCAUGAUCAAUUUAUUGCAUCCAAAAAACAUGUAUAGAAAUGCACCUUUAUCUAACAUUUUACCUUUCACCAUACAACCAUAAACCAAACCACACAUCAAACAUUUAAAAAAAAUAUGCACCAAACCAAUAUGUGCCAAAACACAAGCCAAAUAAGUGGCUAAUAUUAACAAAACUCAUAUAGGCCAACAUUAACCAGAAUACCUAUACAUGCCAUUAUAACCAAAUCAAAACAUUUAAAAGUACCGAUAGAACCGAUAGAUAGUGUGAUAUAACUCCGACAAAAUUCCAACCCGAUCGAGCUUCCGAUAAUCUAAAAAGUAAAGGAAAACAACUACGUAAGCAACGGAUGCUUAGUAAGCUCGUAUAAACUUUAAUCAUAUUAAUUCAUUUCAAAUAUGAAAUCUAUACGUAUCAAGAAUAACCCAAUAUUGAUACCACAAUACUCAUGAAGCUAUAUUCAUCAAUUCACAAGGUGAAUAAAUCCACAGUAUCACAUAUACAUAUUAUCCCAAACUUAGUAGGAUUUUAUAUAACUUUAACUCUUCCAGAUUUCCUUAUUUUCAUUUGCAUUUCUUUACUUUCCACACUUAUUCCAUAUGCAUGACACACAAGUCAUAAAAAUAUCAUUCCAUCAUGGUCACAAACUAGUGCAUUUAACCAAAGCCUUUUUUUGAAUUGAUCACAUGAUAAGUUAUUUCAUAAGAAAUUUCAUAAUUUAAAACCUUACCACUUUUUCAUGAGCACUAGCAUAUUUUCACUUAAAUACUUACCAAUUCAAUGCAUUUUAUAAAUAAUCAUAUUACCAUUCAACCAAUAGCUUGGCACUUGCCUAAGCAUCAAGCAACAACACUGGUUAGCAAACUUACACAUAUUACAUAUAAAUUCAACAUUGAUAAACUUAUUUUCUCGACAUGUCACACUUGAGUUUAUUACUCGUCUUAACAUACAUAAUUUCCUUGUAUCAACACAUCAAAGAUAGUCACAUAUUUACAUGUCAUGAUACAUAUCAUUCUCUUGUCGUUUCUUCAUAAACAUAAAUCAUUCAUUUCAUUAUAUCAAUAUUUCAUGUAUCAUCAUUUUCAUGAAUUUCGUGUAUAUUUAUUCCAGUAACAGUUCAUAAUCAUGAAUAUACAUAAUUAUCAGGCAAGUUUCACAUACAUGUAUUUUCCAUGUCAUGUUUCAAUAUAUCAAAUAAAUAUCAGUUCCUUCAGGUAUAUACCGAUAAUAUUUUAUUUCGAACUCAUGUUAUCUCAUAUCAGAACUUUACCCGUUGAAUCAUUUAAAAUAUCGAUGGAUACAAAGGUAGUACACAUGAAGUGUACGAAUCUAAAAUCCGUCAAUUCAUAUUUGGGGGGUACUCAUUAGAGCACAUAAUCAAAAAACACUCUCUCGAGCCAUAUAACAGGAAGCUUAUCUGGGCUAUAACAGGAAACUCAUAAGAGUUUAUAACAGAAAGCUCAUGUGAGCUUAACAGGUAACUCCUAAAAGCUAUUAUCAGGAAGCUCUAGAUAGUCAUAUAUCAGGAAGUUCAAGCGAGCUAUAUUGGGAAGCUCAUGAAGAGCCAUAUAUUGGGACGCUCAUAAGAGCUGCGGUAUGUCCGUAAUACAUGUAGGAUCAAUACAGAUCAUAUAAUAGGACACUCAAAAAGAGUUGCGGUAUGUCUGCAACACAUGCAGGAUCAAUACCGAUCAGGAUGCUGACAGGAACUGUAAUGGCCCAAAUUUAAGAUUAUCAGAAUAGUGGUUUCGGGACCACAAAUCCGAUGAGGAAAUUUUAUUUUUCUUAUAUUUUAUGGUCUAUGAUUUCACAAAAUGAUUUCGUGAAAAUUUCGUUUGAAAAUUUCGACGUUUGGGCACUUAAUUUAGUCAAAAGGACUAAAUUAUAAAAAAUGCAAAAGUUGAGUUCUACAUGUUAGAGGUGUCCAAUUGUUAUGAAAUUUUAAAUUGAAGGUCCUUAUAUGGUAAUUAGACCAUUUCUAACUUGGUAGACAAAAAUGGACAUGAAAUAAGUGAAAUAGAAAAUUUUUAAGUUAGGGGCAAUUUGGUAAUCUAGUAAUAAAAAGAAUUAAAAGGGAAAAAGAUGGCAAAAAUCAUCAUCUUCUUCAUUAGGAUGAAAUCAGCAAGGGGGGAGCCAUAGUUAGGGUUUUCAAGCUUCCAAGCUCCAUAGUAAGUGAUCCCAAGCCCCAUUUUUAAUGUUCUUUACGUUUUUGAGAUCCCAAUAGCUUAAUUUAGCUUAUUCUAGCAAUAAUUUAACCUAGGGUUUAUAUUUGGAAAAAUACCCAUAGGUGAAAAGUGUUUAUUUUGAUGUUUUAUGAUAGAAUAUGAAGCUAGAAAUUAUGUUAAACAACUUUUGCUAAGCGAUAUUAAGUGAAAACGAGUAAAACGACAUAAUCGGUAAAAAUACCUAAUGUUCUUAAGUACAUGGUAGAGUGGGAAUUUGAUAUUGCCAUAGAAGGGAAAAAUGUUCAGCAUAUCAUAAAACAUAAGAAUAAGAGAUGAAGUUUAAUUUCCGAGCCUUGGGACAAAAAUGUAAUUAUGUAAAAGUUUAGGGGCAAAAUUGCAAUUUUAAAAAAGUUAGAGUCGAGGACUGUUUUGAUAAAUGUGAGUAUUAAAUGAGUUAAAUUUGCUAUUUUAGAUCAAGAAGAAUGAAACUCGAGGUUAGACAAAGGAAAGAAUAAAGUUGAAGACUAAGUUGGUGAAUUGGGCUAUAUUGGUACCGAGGUAAGUUUACGGUAAAUAAAUACAAUAUUUUAAUAAUUAUUGUUAAUUUUGUUAUUUUCCAGCAAUUAUAUAUUUAUUUCAUGAAUUUAUUUGAUGAUGACCCAAGCAUGAAAUGAUAGAGAAUUAAAAUUUAAAAGUCCCGUUGAUACAUAAGGAUGAUACUGGAUAUGAAUGUUAUGACAUUUGGGUAAAGAGGUCCCAUGUAAGACCAUGUCUGGGACAUGGCAUUGGCACCGAGAUGAGAGGUCCCAUGUGACAUGGCAUAGGCACCGAGAUGAGAGGUCCCAUAUAAGACCAUGUCUGGGACAUGGCGUUGGCACCGAGAUGAGAGGUCCCCCGUAAGACCAUGUCUGGGACAUGGCAUGGGCACCGACAUGAGUACAUCCCAUGUAAGACCAUGUCUGGGACAUGGCUUUGGCAUGUUAUGAUCAGAAGAUACCCGAGUAUCCUUAUUAUUCCAAUGUGGUUCAACGGGCUAGUAAACGAAUCAGGUACAUGAAAGUUCAGUUAAAGAUAAGAAAUGGCAAGCUCAUGUGAGUUAUAGGAGUUAAGAAUUUAUUAUAUUAACAUUUGAUAUUCAACGAUGCAGCAAGAGAAGAGUAAGUUAUGAACACAAGUAUAUUAAGUAAUCAAGCAAGAGAACUAGUAUGAGAUUAACUAAAGAGUAAAAUAGAGAUAUAGACACUUGAGUUUAAUUAUUUGUGUUAAAUAUUAUUAUUUAUUUGCUAGUAAACUUACUAAGCUUUAUGCUUACGUCUUUUAUUUCUCUUUCUCUUAUAGUAUUGCAAGGCUACUUCAAGGAUCCUAAAGAAGUCGGAGAUCGUCCACACUAUCAACCACAACUGCUCGGUAUUUUAUGUCAAAACACGUUUGAGUUAUGGCAUGUAUAGGGAUUUAGUUAUUUUGUAUGUUUGUAAUGAUGAUUUUGCUAAUGAAUGAUGUGUAAGCAUUUGAUGAUGUAUGGUCAUUAAAAUGGUUAAGUAUGAAGGUGUUUGUUGUUAUGAAAGAUUAGGUGAUAAAUUAUGCAUGGAAAUCAUGAAAGGAUAAAAUUUUGCAAAGAAACAGAAUUCUGGCAGCAACAGUGACGUCACUUUGAAAAAUCACCUAGGAUGGUAUAAAAUGAAUUACAGGGUGAAUGAUAUAUGGAAUUAAAUAUUGUUGAGUCUAUUUUCAUGUAAAAAUAACGGUUUAGCAAAAGGAAUUUUAUAUUUUAAGAUAUGUGAAUUUUGGUGAGACAGAGUCAGAACAGUUUUUGGUGUCCCCUGUUUUGAGUUUAGAAAAUCAUUAAAAAUUGUACAAAAAUAGUUAUAAGUUUUAGUUUAUAUGUAUAGAUUCCUUAUUGAGUCUAUUUUCUGUAAAAACAAGUAAGAACUUCAUAUGAAAAUCCUACAGUGAGAAAACUUAUUUUUGGUGACAAGAGGUCAGGACAGGUAGGUGGUGAAACAGGGGAGACUUUAACUAAUAAACUGUACUAAUUGGCUAAACCAAAAAUUCUAAAAAAAUUAUGGUAAGUAUAAAUAUGAGUCUAGUUUCAGGAAAAUUUACGUAAUUAAAUUUCAAGGUCCGUAGCUCGAGUUAUACUUAAUUUUGUAACUGCUGCGCUAUUGGACAGAUUUGCUGUAAAUAGUGAAAUAAAUUUUCAAACUAAGUUUUUAUGCUCCGAAUUUCUAAGAUAAGCUAAGUAAUGCCUCGUGCUCGAUUCCGGCAACGGUAUCAGGUAAGGGGUGUUACAGGAACCAUGUAACGAGAAGCUCGAGAGGGCUUAUAACAGGACGCUCUUUCGAGCUAUUGUAUGUCUGCAACAUAUGCAAGACCACAUCCAAUACGGGAAAUCCUGUAUCAAUCGAAUUUCAUUUAUUCAAACGGGACUUUAUAUUUAUCAAACAUCAUCAAAUAUAUGAUCAAUUUCAUAUAUAUAUGACAUUUACACAAAUUCACAAAUACAACAUUCAAUUCAAACAUAUAAAUAUAAAAAAAUUAGUUACAUGAAUUUAUCUGGCUAAAUUGCAAAAAUACCAAGAUUUAGGGGUAUUUUGGUAAUUUUUCAUUUUCCUCGAUUUUCCACCCAUCUUGAUCUAAAUUAAUAAUUUCAUUCAAUUUAUUAAUUUAGACAAUAAAACAAUUCAUUUCCUGCAAUUUGAUUUUUUUACAUUUUUACAAAAUUGCCCCUAACGUUUUACUUUUAUUCAAUUUAUUCCCUAAGCCUAAAACAUGCAAAUCAACGAUUUUUAAUGUAAACUCAUGCUAGCUGGAUAUUCAUAUAUAUUUUCCUCCUCCUCUUCAUUCCACAUCCUUAAUGUAUAUAGCAUGCUAAUAUGUAACAUUAUCUAUAAUUUCACUAUUACUUAUAUGUUAAUAUCAAAGCUGUCCACUUGAGUCAUAGUCACUAAAUUAUUUAUAUCUUGAGCUACAAAAUUCUAAAUUAAGAUCCACUUAAUGUUUUUGAAACUAGACUCAAAUUUCUUUCUACCAUAAAAAUUUCAUAAUUUAUAAUUUAGUCAAUAAGUACAGUAAAAUCUUCAAAUUUAUCCCUAUUCUGCUGUUUGACAGCUUCGACCUUUCUUUACUAAAAAUUAAUUAUCUCUUAGUACGAGGUUUGGAUGAUGUCUCCAUUUGUUUCUCUUGAAAAUAUACCCAUUAAUAAUUUAAACAUAUAAAUUUAAACCCCUAAUUAUUUUUUUUACAAUUUUUGAUGAUUUUCCAAAUUCAGAACAGGGGAACCUGAAAUCAAUCUGACAUUGUCUCAUAAAAAUUCAUAUAUCUCAUAAUAUGAAAAUAUUUUGCUUACACUGUUUCUUAUAUGUAAAACUAGACUAAAUAAGGUUUACUUUGAUACUUUAAUUACCACUAAUUCAAUUUAUACAAUUUUUGGUGAAUUUUCAAAGUCAGACUACUGCUGCUGUCCAAAACUAUUUUAGUGCAAAAUGUUGAUAACCAAGUAUAUAACACCCUCCUUUCCUUUCUCUACAAUAUUUCCCUUCACUAACAUAUCAAGAACAUAGAACCUUAUAUAAGAAAACUCUACGUUAACAUUAUUUUCAUGCUUUUUCAAUAAUAUCAAACUUAAAAAUAUAUUAAAAUUUUGAUGUUUUUACCUUGUUCUAUUGAUUUCAAUCUUUAACUUGAUUUUCUCUCUCCUCAAACUUCUAUUUCUUAAAUCUAACUUGAUAUUCUAGCUCCUCAUAGCUUUCUUAUUAUUUUACUCUCUUGGUAGCUAUAGAAAUUCUUUUGAUUUCUAAGUGAAAAUGGUGAAUUUUUUGUUAAAGGACCAAAUUGUAAAGAAAUUUUUUUUCUUUCUUCAUUCUCUUCUCACGUGGGUGCAUGGAAAGGUGAAGAGAGUUCUUCAUCUUUCUUUCCUUGUAUAUUAAAUAAAAUAAUAAUAAUAAAAUAAUAAAAUAUCUCAUUAAAAUAUUAAUAAAAUAAUAUUUAUCUAAUUAAAUAAUUAUAAAAUAUCAUCAAAAUAUCUCUAAUAUCAUCAUUGCCUUCUAGAGUUGUCUCUAUUUCUAAUUGACCAUUUUUCCCUUUAUGAUCUUUUAAAAUUCCAUCCUUGAGUUAUCACUUAAUUUGGUAAAAUUAUGAUUUAGUCCCUCAUGAUUCUUCACCUAUUCAAUUUGGUCCUUAUUCAUCCAUUUUUUUUAGUUUCUAGAUCAUUCCCCCUUAAAAUAUUUGCACUAUUGGUCUUUCAACUUUUUCAUAUUUACAUUUUAACCCCUUAAAUGUUAAGUAUUUACUCUUAGGCCACAAAACUUUUUUACUUUUACGAUUUAGUCCUUAAUUGAAUUGAUAUAUCAUAAUAUACUUCCCAAUAUUGAAAAUACUCAAAAUUUCCUUUUUUGUCACUUUAUUUUCUUACUUUACUAUAUCAAGGAUAAUAUUUUACUUUCUUACUGUAGUAAAUUUUUGGGGUAUUACAAAAGAGCUAGGAGAGAAAUUCUUAGGGAAAUGAAAGGGUCAUAUGUAGAAGAAUAUGCAAAUCUGUGGGGGUAUGUUGGCUAAGCUAGAAAUAAGUAAUCCUGGGAGCAUAGUUUCAAUCCAAGUCCAUAGAAAUCAAUAAGGUAAAGUUGUGUUCCAUAGGAUUUAUGUGUGUUUCGAAGCAUUGAAAAAAGGGUGGAAAGCUGGUUGUAGGCCUUUUAUUGGAAUUGAUGGGUGUUUCCUUAAAAGUGUUUGUAAAUGAGAGAUGUUAGUGGCUGUUGGCAGAGAUACCAACAAUCAGAUAUAUCCAUUAGCUUGGGCAGUGGUGGAAGGGGAAAAUGCCUCUUCGUAGAAAUGGUUUUUGGAGAAAUUAUUUACAGAUUUAUGUCAUCCAAUGGGUGUUGGAUUAACAUUGAUAUCAGAUCAACAAAAGGUAAUUUAUUAGUAUAAAUAUGUUCAUUCUAUUUAUUUUUUAAGAUACAUAUUUUACACUAAUUGUAUGAUUAACAAUCUAAAUUUUAUGAUUGCUGCAGGGGUUGAUCAGUGUACUAAAUGAGUGUUUUCUAGAUUUGGAGCAUAGAAUGUGUGCAAGACACAUCUAUACCAAUUGGCAAAAGACUUGGAAAGGGUUGAAUAGGAAGAUGUAAUUUUGGAAUUGUGUCAGGUCAACUUUUGUUGAGGACUUUGAUGAUCAGUUACAAAAAUUAAAAGCAAUGGGUGAGACAUCCACUGAUCAAUUAUUAGAGAUCCAUGUGCAUCAUUGGGCAAAGUCAUAUUUUAAAGGGACAUGCAAAUGUGAUGUCGUGGACAAUAAUAUGGUUAAGGCAUUUAAUGCAUGGAUACUUGAAGCAAGAUGCAGACCUAUCAUCACCAUGCUUGAAGAAAUCAUAGUGAUAGUAAUGACUAGGAUGCAUGUGAAGAGAACUUGGGCAGAAAAGUGGAGAACUAACAUUUCCCCUGUUGCAUUGGAAAAGUUGGAUAAGAAUGCUACAACCUCAACUAAAUGUAUGCUUGCAUGGAAUGGUGAUGGAGGGUUUAAAGUGAUCCAUGAAGACAACCAACACACAGUUGACUUGAAAGAGUUGAAAUGCACUUGUAGAGAGUGGGAGCUUACAGGGAUUCCUUGUUGCCAUGUUGUAUGUGCCAUGUACCAUGGUACAGCAAGGAGAAAUAUGCAGCAGCAUACAGUCAGGUUUUACAACCAAUUAAGGGAAAAAAUUUUGGUUCAAGAGAGAUGAUUCAAUUCUUCCUUCACUAGUAAAAAAAGAUGCCUGGAAGGCUCAAGAAAAGCAGAAGAAAAUCUAAGGAUGAACAAAAAAAGAGCAAGUUUGGAAAGGACACUAGGAGAGGCCUUAAAAUGUCAUGCUCUUUGUGUAAACAAGUAGGGAUAAUAAGAAAUUGUGUCCA
rnacentral:lncRNA from 1 species